GACCGCGUAGCUCAGUUGGAAGAGCAUUGGGCUAGUAUUCCAAAGGUCGUAGGUUCGAAUCCCGCCGUGGUCA